UGGGGAAUUUUACGCAAUGGGCGAAAGCCUGACGUAGCGACACCGCGUGAGCGAAGAAGCCCCUUGGGGUGUAAAGCUCUGUCAGCUGGAACGAAAAAAAUGACGGUACCAGCAGAGGAAGCAUCGGCUAACUACGUGCCAGCAGCCGCGGUAAGACGUAGGAUGCAAGCGUUGUCCGGAUUUAUUGGGCGUAAAGAGUUCGUAGGUGGUUUGUUAAGUUUGGUGUUAAAGAUUGGGGCUCAACCCUGAAACUGCACUGAAUACUGGCAGACUCGAGUGUGGUAGAGGCUAGUGGAAUUCCCAGUGUAGCGGUGAAAUGCGUAGAUAUUGGGAAGAACACCGGUGGCGUAGGCGACUAGCUGGGCCAUAACUGACACUGAGGAACGAAAGCCAGGGGAGCGAAUGGG
rnacentral:rRNA from 1 species